UGCGCAUGCGCGUUGGCAGCCUGGCGGCCGCUCAAGGAGAGAGCACAUGCGCAGAAGGGAGGGAGAGGCGGCGGCGCAUGCGCAGUGAGGAGGGGGAGGUGGCGGCGCGUGCGCAGUGAGGAGGAAGCGGCGGGAUGGAGGCGGCGCUGGAGGUGACGGCGCGGUACUGCCGCAGCGAGCUGGAGCAGUACGGGCGCUGCGUGGCCGCCAGCCCGGCUUCGUGGCAGCGGGACUGCCACAGCCUCCGCCUCGGCAUCUCCCGGUGCGCCUCCGCGCACCCCAUCGUCAGGAGGAUCCGCAGUGACUGCGCCGAGCCCUUCGCCGCCUUCGAGAGGUGCCUGCAGGAGAACGAGGCCGCCGUGGGGAAGUGCAGCGAGCACGUCGCCGCCUUCCUGCGCUGCGCCGAGCAGGUGAAGGUCGCCGCGUGAGCGUCCUCUCAGAAAAACAUAAAGCACUGGAACAGGUUGCCCAGAGAGGCUGUGGAUGCCCCAUCCCUGGAGGUGCUCAAGGCCCUGAGCAACCUGAUCUAGUGUUGGAAUUGGCGUUGGUGUUGGAAUCAGGUGAUCUACGAGGGCCCUUCCAACCCCAGCUACUCUGAAAACAUAGCGGGAAACUAUAUCAAGGUUAAACGCAUUGGCAUGGCUCAUCAGGGGAAGUAUUUCCUCUGUGACCACAAGCGCAGCAGCGUGUUUUUCCGAAUGGUCGUUCUGCGUUGGACUAAGGCGCUGCCCUGCGGUAAAAGACCCUGGGAUGAAAGCAGUCUUGUUUUGACGUAAAGUCUUGGUUUAAUUGGUACAACUCUAUUAAUCGACUGGCUCAUCAGGUUUGCGUGGUAGUAUAUGCAGAAUGGGUUUGUUGGGUGGGUCAGGCUACAGCACUGGGAUAAAGAUCCUGUAAACUUCUGUGGAGCUACAUUAAAGCAAAUAAUGUGCCACUAAGCAUAUAGGAACAGACUGACUGUGACAUCUGCCCGCCACCUGGAAAGGGGAUCCUUGGAAUUAAAGCUCAUCCUCAGGAGUGAAUGAAAACUCUUUCCGUACUCUGGAGUCUCGUUCCAAUGCACAGUUGGGUUGUUUCUCCCCUCUGAAAAACUGAGUGCAGCCCUGUGAUGUGGUUCUCUUGGUGCUUGUCUUCAACAACCAGCUGGACUCUGACACGGCUGUCGGAGCAUUCCUGAUCUGCUGGUACUUGUGUGCUGCUAAUGCUGGGUUUUCGCUGCUGGUGCUCCAUGCCCUUAGCAACUUUUCUGUAUUCAACAAUUUCUUUGAUAAUUAAGCACAGUAUUUUCCUUCGUCCCAAUAAAAAUCACUCCUGAAGAUCAAA